rnacentral:tRNA from 1 species
GCCGUUGUAGUCUUAAUGGGUUAGACAUUGGCCUUUCACGGCAAAGAAACGAGUUCAAUUCUCGUAAAGGGUA